AGAGUUUGAUCAUGGCUCAGGAUGAACGCUAGCGGCAGGCUUAAUACAUGCAAGUUGAGGGGCAGCAUGAUAUACGCAAGUAUAUUGAUGGCGACCGGCGGACGGGUGAGUAAAAGGUAGGAGACCUACCUCAUACAGGGGGAUAGCAUAGAGAAAUCUGUGGUAAUACCCCAUGAGGUUAUAUGAAUAGAGGCAUAUAAUCAAAGUAUACGAGAGUAUGCGGUAUGAGAUGGGCCUACUGACCAUUAGCUAGUUGGUGAGGUAAGGGCUCACCAAGGCGAAGAUGGUUAGGGGUUUUGAGAGAGAGAUCCCCCACAUUGGAACUGAGAUACGGUCCAGACUCCUACGGGAGGCAGCAGUAGGGAAUAUUGGGCAAUGGGCGAAAGCCUGACCCAGCCAUGCCGCGUGAAGGAAGACGGCCUUAUGGGUUGUAAACUUCUUUACUAUACGAAUAGAGGUUAGUACGAGUUACUAAUAGGAAGGUAGUAUAGCAAAAAGCACCGGCUAACUCCGUGCCAGCAGCCGCGGUAAUACGGAGGGUGCAAGCGUUAUUCGGAAUUACUGGGUUUAAAGGGUGCGUAGGCGGUUAUAUAAGUUGUCAGUGAAAGGCUACGGCUCAACUGUAGUAGUGCUGGCGAUACUGUAUAACUAAGAACAUGGGAGGGGUACCUGGAAUGUGUCUAAGAACAUGGGAGGGGUACCUGGAAUGUGUGGUGUAGCGGUGAAAUGCAUAGAUAUCACACAGAACACCGGAGGCGAAGGCGGGGUACUAGACCAUAGUUGACGCUGAGGCACGAAAGCGUGGGGAGCAAACAGGAUUAGAUACCCUGGUAGUCCACGCCCUAAACGAUGAUCACUAGAUAUUGGCGACAGACAGUCAGUGUCUAAGCGAAAGUGAUAAGUGAUCCACCUGGGGAAUACGGCCGCAAGGUUAAAACUUAAAUGAAUUGACGG
rnacentral:rRNA from 1 species